rnacentral:rRNA from 1 species
UAGUCCACGCCGUAAACGAUGGUCACUAGUUGUUGGGGCUUUAUGCCUCAGUGAUUAAGCGAAAGUGAUAAGUGACCCACCUGGGGAGUACGAUCGCAAGAUUGAAACUCAAAGGAAUUGACGGGGGCCCGCACAAGCGGUGGAGCAUGUGGUUUAAUUCGAUGAUACGCGAGGAACCUUACCAGGGCUUAAAUGUAAGUUGCAUAGACCAGAGAUGGUCUUUUCUUCGGACUACUUACAAGGUGCUGCAUGGUUGUCGUCAGCUCGUGCCGUGAGGUGUCAGGUUAAGUCCUAUAACGAGCGCAACCCCUACCGUUAGUUGCCAGCAAGUAAAGUUGGGGACUCUAGCGGGACUGCCGGUGCAAACCGAGAGGAAAGUGGGGAUGACGUCAAAUCAUCACGGCCCUUACGUCUUGGGCUACACACGUGCUACAAUGGUAGGGACAGAGAGUCGCAAACUAGUGAUAGUGAGCUAAUCUUCAAACCCUAUCUCAGUUCGGA